rnacentral:RNase_P_RNA from 1 species
GCAGGCGGCCGGAUGAUCGCUGCUCCUCGCGCUUCGGUGUCGAGGAGGGGAGGAAAGUCCGAACUCCGCAGGGCAGUGUGCCGGAUAACGUCCGGGACGCGAGCGUGAAGGCUCGUGGACGGCAAGUGCAACAGAAAGCAAACCGCCAUCUUGUGCAAACAAGAGGGUAAGGGUGAAAGGGUGGGGUAAGAGCCCACCGCGUCGGCAGUAAUGCAGGCGGCACGGUAAACCCCACACGGAGCAAGACCAAAUAGGCAGGGAGAUCGAGGCCACUCUUCAAGGCGCGAUCACGUGGCGGCCCGUCACGUCCAGGCGAAGAGACGUCGCAAGACGAGCCGGAACCUGCGGGUAGGUUGCUUGAGCCAGUCAGUAAUGGCUGGCCUAGAGGAAUGAUCGUCUAAAACAAAAUUCGGCUUACGGGCCGCCUGCACAG